rnacentral:sRNA from 1 species
UCCCCUCCCCCUCUCCUGAUAGAAGUGGAGAAACAUUAUGAUUCUAUGGCAGUUGAUGGUGGGCUGGAGAGGGCAGUUUAGAGCAGAAAAGGGGCUAAGUUGAAUGGAUCGCAGCAGUUACCAUUGCUGCUGGGACAGCUGCAAUUGGUUAUCUAGCUUACAAAAGAUUUUAUGUUAAAGAUCAUCGAAAUAAAGCUAUGAUAAACCUUCACAUCCAGAAAGACAACCCCAAGAUAGUACAUGCUUUUGACAUGGAGGAUUUGGGAGAUAAAGCUGUGUACUGCCGUUGUUGGAGGUCCAAAAAGUUCCCAUUCUGUGAUGGGGCUCACACAAAACAUAACGAAGAGACUGGAGACAAUGUGGGCCCUCUGAUCAUCAAGAAAAAAGAAACUUAAAUGGACACUUUUGAUGCUGCAAAUCAGCUUGUCGUGAAGUUACCUGAUGGUUUAAUUAGAAUGACUACCACCUCUGUCUGAUUCACCUUCGCUGGAUUCUAAAUGUGGUAUAUUGCAAACUGCAGCUUUCACAUUCAUGGCAUUUGUCUUGUUGAAACAUCGUGGUGCACAUUUGUUUAAAC